GUGGGGAAUAUUGGACAAUGGGCGAAAGCCUGAUCCAGCCAUGCCGCGUGUGUGAAGAAGGUCUUCGGAUUGUAAUGCACUUUAAGUUGGGAGGAAGGGUAGUAACAUAAUACGUUGCUACUUUGACGUUACCGACAGAAUAAGCACCGGCUAACUUCGUGCCAGCAGCCGCGGUAAUACGAAGGGUGCAAGCGUUAAUCGGAAUUACUGGGCGUAAAGCGCGCGUAGGUGGUUCAGUAAGUUGGAAGUGAAAUCCCCGGGCUCAACCUGGGAACUGCUUUCAAAACUGCUGAGCUAGAGUACGGUAGAGGGUGGUGGAAUUUCCUGUGUAGCGGUGAAAUGCGUAGAUAUAGGAAGGAACACCAGUGGCGAAGGCGACCACCUGGACUGAUACUGACACUGAGGUGCGAAAGCGUGGGGAGCAAACAGGAUUAGAAACCCCAGUAGUCC
rnacentral:rRNA from 1 species